rnacentral:rRNA from 1 species
GAUGAACGCUAGCGGCAGGCCUAAUACAUGCAAGUCGAACGGGAUCCAGAUCAAAGCUUGCUUUGGUCUGGUGAGAGUGGCGCACGGGUGCGUAACGCGUGAGCAACCUACCCUUGUCAGGGGGAUAGCCCGGCGAAAGUCGGAUUAAUACCGCAUGACAUCAUUGAGAGGCAUCUUUCGAUGAUCAAAGAUUUAUCGGACAAGGAUGGGCUCGCGUGACAUUAGCUAGUUGGUAAGGUAACGGCUUACCAAGGCUGCGAUGUCUAGGGGCUCUGAGAGGAGAAUCCCCAACACUGGUACUGGGCCACGGACCAGACUCCAACGGGAGGAAGCAGAAAGGAAAAUGGUCAAUGGACGGAAGUCUGAACCAGCCAUGCCGCGUGCAGGAGGACGGCCCUAUGGGUUGUAAACUGCUUUUAUACGGGAACAAACGUCGGUACGUGUACCGGUCUGAGUGUACCGUAAGAAUAAGGAUCGGCUAACUCCGUG